ACGGGCGCAGAGGCGCGAAAACUUUACAAUGCUGGAGACCGUGACAAGGGGACACCGAGUGCCAGCAUCAUAUGCUGGCUGUCCAGAUGUGUAAAAUACAUCUGUUAGCAAGGGCCGGGCAAGACCGGUGCCAGCCGCCGCGGUAACACCGGCGGCCCGAGUGGUGAUCGUGAUUAUUGGGUCUAAAGGGUCCGUAGCCGGUUUGGUCAGUCCUCCGGGAAAUCUGAUAGCUUAACUAUUAGGCUUUCGGGGGAUACUGCCAGGCUUGGAACCGGGAGAGGUAAGAGGUACUACAGGGGUAGGAGUGAAAUCCUGUAAUCC
rnacentral:rRNA from 1 species